rnacentral:rRNA from 1 species
CAAAGCGUAACGGAGGAGCACGAAGGUUAGCUAAUCCUGGUCGGACAUCAGGAGGUUAGUGCAAUGGCAUAAGCUAGCUUGACUGCGAGCGUGACGGCGCGAGCAGGUGCGAAAGCAGGUCAUAGUGAUCCGGUGGUUCUGAAUGGAAGGGCCAUCGCUCAACGGAUAAAAGGUACUCCGGGGAUAACAGGCUGAUACCGCCCAAGAGUUCAUAUCGACGGCGGUGUUUGGCACCUCGAUGUCGGCUCAUCACAUCCUGGGGCUGAAGUAGGUCCCAAGGGUAUGGCUGUUCGCCAUUUAAAGUGGUACGCGAGCUGGGUUUAGAACGUCGUGAGACAGUUCGGUCCCUAUCUGCCGUGGGCGCUGGAGAAUUGAGGGGGGCUGCUCCUAGUACGAGAGGACCGGAGUGGACGCAUCACUGGUGUU